AGAGUUUGAUCCUGGCUCAGGAUGAACGCUAGCGGCAGGCUUAACACAUGCAAGUCGAGGGGCAGCAUAAUGGAUAGCAAUAUCUAUGGUGGCGACCGGCGCACGGGUGCGUAACGCGUAUGCAACCUACCUUUAACAGGGGGAUAACACUGAGAAAUUGGUACUAAUACCCCAUAAUAUCAUAGAAGGCAUCUUUUAUGGUUGAAAAUUCCGAUGGUUAGAGAUGGGCAUGCGUUGUAUUAGCUAGUUGGUGGGGUAACGGCUCACCAAGGCGACGAUACAUAGGGGGACUGAGAGGUUAACCCCCCACACUGGUACUGAGACACGGACCAGACUCCUACGGGAGGCAGCAGUGAGGAAUAUUGGUCAAUGGACGCAAGUCUGAACCAGCCAUGCCGCGUGCAGGAUGACGGCUCUAUGAGUUGUAAACUGCUUUUGUACGAGGGUAAACGCAGAUACGUGUAUCUGUCUGAAAGUAUCGUACGAAUAAGGAUCGGCUAACUCCGUGCCAGCAGCCGCGGUAAUACGGAGGAUUCAAGCGUUAUCCGGAUUUAUUGGGUUUAAAGGGUGCGUAGGCGGUUUGAUAAGUUAGAGGUGAAAUUUCGGGGCUCAACCCUGAACGUGCCUCUAAUACUGUUGAGCUAGAGAGUAGUUGCGGUAGGCGGAAUGUAUGGUGUAGCGGUGAAAUGCUUAGAGAUCAUACAGAACACCGAUUGCGAAGGCAGCUUACCAAACUAUAUCUGACGUUGAGGCACGAAAGCGUGGGGAGCAAACAGGAUUAGAUACCCUGGUAGUCCACGCAGUAAACGAUGAUAACUCGUUGUCGGCGAUACACAGUCGGUGACUAAGCGAAAGCGAUAAGUUAUCCACCUGGGGAGUACGUU
rnacentral:rRNA from 1 species